AAAAAGUAAUGCUCAUCCAUUUAACCUCAGAGAUGUCUGAUGGCACUUUCUGCAAUCAGCACUGACAGUUCAAGGAUGAAAGGUAAUGCCAGAGAGUGAGCAGGUCUGGGGAACAGAAGAAGGAUAGACAGACCUGGGAUUAUGCAGACAAGCAACCGGCAUACAGAACCCAGGCCAUGAUGUGGUUUGCCUGUCAGCUUUGCAUGUUUAGAUACAAUAAUUUCUCAACCACCUAAAGUGUGGAUUGUCAAAUUUCAGUGACUGAACUGUUCCUUGGCACUGUUUGAUGUGGUAAUGUGGAAGCAUACAUAGAGAUCCUCCUGGGCAAAGUCAGAGGCUGGUGACUCUCAAAGCUCUGCUGCCU